rnacentral:ncRNA from 1 species
AAUUAAGGUUUCUAUCUCUUUUUCAGAGAAUGAAUAAUAGGGAAGUCGGUGAGAUUCCGACACUGUACCCGCAGCUGUAAUCUCUAUAACUGUCGAUUCUACUGCCACUGUUUACACGGGAAGGCAUUCGAUAGGGAGUAAGUCAGAAGACCUGCCUUUAAAAUAAU